rnacentral:misc_RNA from 1 species
ACAUCUCUUGAAUUGGUGGUGGUGUGGUGUUUCGGCACUCAUCAUCCUCAACCCCAUUGUGUGCAUGUAUGUGUUGUGUUGUGAGUUGGGUAAAGAGGAGAAGAGAGAGCUUCGGCUUAGCCUUCACCUCACCUCACCUUUCACUUUUAACCCCAAACCCCUUCUUCUCAUCACACUAGACUGACUUUCAAUCCUCGUUUUCGCUCCCUACCAACGGAGCAAAACAUCAAUCAGCAUA